rnacentral:rRNA from 1 species
AACGGGUGAGGAACACGUGAGAAACCUGCCUCGGAUUUUGGGAUAACAAAUGGAAACGUUUGCUAAUACCAAAUAACGUCGGAGAGUCACAUGACUUUCUGACGAAAGGAAUUCCGAUUCGAGAGGGUCUCGCGGCCUAUCAGCUAGUUGGCGGGGUAAUGGCCCACCAAGGCAACGACGGGUAGCUGGUCUGAGAGGAUGGUCAGCCACACUGGGACUGAGACACGGCCCAGACUCCUACGGGAGGCAGCAGUGGGGAAUCUUGCGCAAUGGGCGAAAGCCUGACGCAGCAACGCCGCGUGCGGGAAGAAGGCUUUCGGGCUGUAAACCGCUUUCAGCAGGAACGAAAAUGACGGUACCUGCAGAAGAAGGAGCGGCCAACUAUGUGCCAGCAGCCGCGGUGAUACAUAGGCUUCAAGCGUUGUCCGGAUUUAUUGGGCGUAAAGAGUUCGUAGGCGGUCGAGUAAGUCGGGUGUGAAAAUUCUGGGCUUAACCCAGAGACGCCACCCGAUACUGCUUAACUUGAGUUCGAUAGGGGAGUGGGGAAUUCCUAGUGUAGCGGUGAAAUGCGCAGAUAUUAGGAGGAACACCGGUGGCGAAGGCGCCACUCUGGAUCGAUACUGACGCUGAGGAACGAAAGCAUGGGUAGCAAACAGGAUUAGAUACCCUGGUAGUCCAUGCCGUAAACGGUGGGCACUAGGUGUGGGAUUCUAUUAACGAAUUCCCGCGCCGUCGCUAACGCAUUAAGU